UAUAGUAUUUUGAGUUUGAUACAUACAUUUCACGGCAUAUGUAGUUUGAGAAAUAAGAUAUUGGUAGAUUUAAAUAUAGUUUGUACAUGGAGUAUACUUAUCUUUUUUGUCUAUCUAAAUCAUUUUUCUUGUUUGAUGAGCUCAUAAAAGGUGCAUUAUGUGCUUACUUAGGGAAUUAUAUGACUCUCUAUAAUGAUGUACACAAAUUAUAGACGAGUCUUUAUGUUGCCUUGAAGAAAGUGGGUUAAAAAAAUACAUGGGCAUUUUCUUCUUUUAUUUUGUCAUGCAUAUUUUUGGUGAUGAAUGCAUAUAGAUACUUGAUCCUUUUUCUAUUUUUUAAGAUUUGAAUUCAGGGAUGAAUUCUUUUUUCUUUAAAAGGGAAGAGCUAUGAUGCAGUUGGGACCCGGGAGGAAGACUGGUACGUGAAGAGGUCCUCACUUCGAAAGGGCAGACCAGACUAUAGAAAUAUGGAUAUUAUUUAGGUACUUUUAUGUUUCAAUUGAGCUCUCCUGCAGCAUUUAGGCCAAACAUGAACUGCCUCGAGUACAGAAGUGGUAGAAGAUGGAUUCCCUUCUCCAUAUUUUAAUACUAGAAGGUUUGGACUUGCUGAUCCCAAAGUUCAAAAAAGAUUGGUCGCACAGCUUCGGGAGCUCCUCAGUUUGACGAUGGAAAAAAGCAUGACAUCUUACCAGCUGAAUUUUUGCUUUGCUUAAUCAAACAUUAUGGGGUAACUUUAUAGCUCUCACGGGCAAAAGAGGUAUUGAUUCAUGUGCAAGAGUUUCUUCAUAGUAAGUUUAAUGAGAAUACUGGUUGAUGAGACAAUCAUGUUUUAUUUGCAAUUCGGAAGGAUUAUUACAAUGGCCUUGAGCCUUAUCAAUAGAGGAGAAAAGGUUGGUCAAAGUGUAUUAUUUUCUGCAUCAUUCAUUACAGGUCCUAGGAAUAUGUGACGAAUUGAUCAUUUACAUAUACUUGUAUUUUAUUCUUCUGUGUA